AGAGUUUGAUCCUGGCUCAGGACGAACGCUGGCGGCGCGCCUAACACAUGCAAGUCGAACGAGCGAGAGAGAGCUUGCUUUCUCGAGCGAGUGGCGAACGGGUGAGUAACGCGUGAGGAACCUGCCUCAAAGAGGGGGACAACAGUUGGAAACGACUGCUAAUACCGCAUAAGCCCACAGCUCGGCAUCGAGCAGAGGGAAAAGGAGCAAUCCGCUUUGAGAUGGCCUCGCGUCCGAUUAGCUAGUUGGUGAGGUAAUGGCCCACCAAGGCAACGAUCGGUAGCCGGACUGAGAGGUUGAACGGCCACAUUGGGACUGAGACACGGCCCAAACUCCUACGGGAGGCAGCAGUAGGGAAUCUUCGGCAAUGGACGAAAGUCUGACCGAGCAACGCCGCGUGAGUGGAGAAGGUUUUCGGAUCGUAAAACUCUGUUGGUAGAGAAGAACGUUGGUGAGAGUGGAAAGCUCAUCAAGUGACGGUAACUACUCAGAAAGGGACGGCUAACUACGUGCCAGCAGCCGCGGUAAUACGUAGGUCCCGAGCGUUGUCCGGAUUUAUUGGGCGUAAAGCGAGCGCAGGUGGUUUAUUAAGUCUGGUGCAAAAGCCCGUGGCUCAACCACGGUAAGCCUUGGAAACUGUCUGGCUGGAGUGCAGGAGAGGACAAUGGAAUUCCAUGUGUAGCGGUAAAAUGCGUAGAUAUAUGGAGGAACACCAGUGGCGAAGGCGGUUGCCUGGCCUGUAACUGACGCUGAAGCACGAAAGCGUGGGGAGCAAAUAGGAUUAGAUACCCUAGUAGUCCACGCCGUAAACGAUGAGAACUAAGUGUUGGGGAAACUCAGUGCUGCAGUUAACGCAAUAAGUUCUCCGCCUGGGGAGUAUGCACGCAAGUGUGAAACUCAAAGGAGUUGACGGGGGCCCGCACAAGCGGUGGAGUAUGUGGUUUAAUUCGACGCAACGCGAAGAACCUUACCAGGCCUUGACAUGGUAUCAAAGGCCCUAGAGAUAGGGAGAUAGUAAUGGUACACACAGGUGGUGCAUGGUUGUCGUCAGCUCGUGUCGUGAGAUGUUGGGUUAAGUCCCGCAACGAGCGCAACCCUUGUUUCUAGUUACCAACAGUAAGAUGGGGACUCUAGAGAGACUGCCGGUGACAAACCGGAGGAAGGUGGGGAUGACGUCAAAUCAUCAUGCCCCUUAUGGCCUGGGCUACACACGUACUACAAUGGCGUCUACAAAGAGCAGCGAGCAGGUGACUGUAAGCGAAUCUCAUAAAGGACGUCUCAGUUCGGAUUGAAGUCUGCAACUCGACUUCAUGAAGUCGGAAUUGCUAGUAAUCGCGGAUCAGCAUGCCGCGGUGAAUACGUUCCCGGGCCUUGCACACACCGCCCGUCAA
rnacentral:rRNA from 1 species